rnacentral:lncRNA from 1 species
AUAAGAAAUUAAAACACUAGUUUUUGGAUUAUCUGGAUGGUCCAUUGAAGAUCCGAUGGUUGAAAAUUGAUCCAUUGCUCGAUCCAAUGGUUGACGUCGUUCUUGACUUUGAAUAAGAAUCCAGGGGCACUGAUCGACAGCCCAGAUUCUAUUCACAGCUCGAUCCGAUGGCUGACAGCAUCUCCAACUAUGUUAAGGAGAUAAAAUGUGUGAUCCAAUGGCUAGAAUUCAAUCUAAAGCAUGAUCCAAUAGCUGAGAAUGUCUCCGACCAUAAUAAGGACUUAAACAAUAUUUUUUGAUUAGAUCUGGAUGGUCCAAAUGCAAUCCGACGGCCAAAAAAAUUCCUACGAGUAUAAUACGUUUUCUAAGAGUUUUGGGACUCCUUUUGUGAUCAGAAAAAGAU